rnacentral:misc_RNA from 1 species
GCCCACUCUUUCCAUUGAGAAUUCUGGAAGGGUGGGGAGAGAAAAAUAUGGAAUUUUUAAUAGUACUCUCAGGAAGUUUCUCUUCCUCUCCCCUGUCUUGCUCUUUCCCUUUAUAUAUAUAUAUAUCUAUUAUUUGCAUGUCUAAUACUGUUUCUAAUAUUGUCUAUAUAUGGGAGAUAAGUAACAAAAAGUUUCUAGUUCACUACUGAAUGCUUGUAUCCAUUUGUAGGCUUCA